ensembl:lncRNA
ACUAUUUAAUAGCAGUGUUUUGUCACAAACGUUAAAUCAAUGCUAUGUUUUAUUUUGAAAACAGGAAAUGUGAUGUAAUUUGUCAGGUGACAGGAACCAGGAAGUCAAUGAAGAAUAUGGCUCAGAACUGCUGUUUGUAUUGGUAGCUUUUCAAUCCAGUUGAGUCUGCAUGCAUCCUAUACCUUUUUGAUAGCAUCGUUGUUUUACUCUUUCUCAUGUCAAUAAACCUGUGGACAACGGACCAUUGUCUUCAGAGUCGUGAUGUCAGAAAAGAGUUCGUCUAACUGCCAAGGUGUAUCGGAGCGCAUAUACCGAGGGCGGCAUAGUAAAACAACGCUUUCUACCGGGCAAGAUAACGCAGCCAACUGACAGAUGCUACGAACAACGUCAUCACACGCAACCAGUGGAUGACCAUCACAGCGGUGUCUAAACAGAGGCUUCUGUGGAUGGUGGUUCUAUCUGAUGAUGGUUGCCCGUGCAGUGGUCCUGCUGUGCGCCUGGCUUACUCACAAUUAUUAGAAUCAUUUCUGUCAUAUGAAUUGUUCAUUCUGUACACAUGGCAUCCAUUGUAGUCUGUCCAUCACGGGAGUGGGAUCCCUGCUCUGAUGACUUUUUCCCUCUUGGAAGGGUUUUUUCAUUUAUUGGGGAGUUUUUCCUGUGCUAAUGUGUGGGUUUCGGGACAGAGGAUGUCGUAUGUGUACAUACUGUAAAGCCCUCUGGGGUAAAUUUCUAAUUUGCGACUUUGGGCUAUACAAAAUAAAAUGAAUUGAAUUGAAUUGAACAUAUUGUUGCUGUAUUUAUAUCUUUCUGCGGAACGACACAUAGGAUGAAUGUUGUGGUUUUUCAUGCGGCAAGAGACAUAUGCAACUUUUAUUGUGAGCUACACAGUAUGUUAACGAGACUGUCC